rnacentral:lncRNA from 10 species
AGUAGAGGCUGCCCCUCUGACAGGGAGUUUGUGGUCAGCGAGUGGGCCCUUGGGGGUCUUGGGCUGUCACAGGGACUCCAGAAAGCCAUGCAGAGCCUUGUGCCAUGAAGGACUUCUCAGAUGUCAUCCUCUGCAUGGAGGCAACAGAAUCGAGCAAGUUUUCCCAGAGGAUGCCAGCUACAGCGUCCCAGCUCCCUGGCAUGGUAACCAUCCCAGGGGGUGACCUGGGGGAGGACAGAGAGGCCCAGGAGCCAAGGACAGCAUGAGGAAUACCCAACAGAAGGGGCUUUCAAAACCCCACCUGCCAACCCGCAGGUCGGCGUCCUCGAGGGCUACGGCCAGACUGCCGCUUCUCCUGGCUCUGUGUCCUCCUGCUCUCCAGCCUGCUCCUCCUGCUGCUUGGGCUGCUGGUGGCCAUCAUCCUGGCCCAGCUGCAGGCUGCACCCCCAUCUGGGGCGUCCCAUAGCCCACUGCCUGCCGGAGGCCUUACCACGACCACCACCACCCCCACCAUCACCACCUCUCAGGCAGCUGGGACCCCUAAAGGGCAGCAGGAGUCAGGCGUGAGCCCCUCCCCACAG